rnacentral:lncRNA from 12 species
UGUAAUACUUUGAAUAAUCCUAGUCUAAAAGACAGACAACCCACCAAUAUAUUUGAGCUAAUUGCUUGUUCACUUUUUUCUUUAGGAGCUAGAAUUCCCCUUGUUCAGCCAAAGAAUGACACUGAUGAGGAUGAAACAGACCUGGAGGUCAGAGAGGUACCUGGUCUCAGGUCUGAGAAAGAACAUGUUUCAGGAGAGCUCCAUCUGUCUCUGAAUAAAUCAACACGAACAAACAAAUAAUCAUUAGAAUUUCUUUACUCUGGGCACCUGCUGUCCUGUGCAAGGUCAAGAAAUCACACCAAUCACACUGUUUUCCUGCAACAGAUCUAAAAGAUAUA